rnacentral:rRNA from 1 species
CCUACGGGAGGCAGCAGUAGGGAAUCUUCCGCAAUGGGCGAAAGCCUGACGGAGCAACGCCGCGUGAGUGAUGAAGGUCUUCGGAUCGUAAAACUCUGUUAUCAGGGAAGAACAAAUGUGUAAGUAACUGUGCACAUCUUGACGGUACCUGAUCAGAAAGCCACGGCUAACUACGUGCCAGCAACCGCGGUAAUACGUAGGUGGCAAGCGUUAUCCGGAAUUAUUGGGCGUAAAGCGCGCGUAGGCGGUUUUUUUAAGUCUGAUGUGAAAGCCCACGGCUCAACCGUGGAGGGUCAUUGGAAACUGGAAAACUUGAGUGCAGAAGAGGAAAGUGGAAUUCCAUGUGUAGCGGUGAAAUGCGCAGAGAUAUGGAGGAACACCAGUGGCGAAGGCGACUUUCUGGUCUGUAACUGACGCUGAUGUGCGAAAGCGUGGGGAUCAAACAGGAUUAGAUACCCUGGUAGUCCACGCCGUAAACGAUGAGUGCUAAGUGUUAGGGGGUUUCCGCCCGUUAGUGCUGCNGCUACGCAUAAGACACUCCGCCGUCGGGGAGGUACGGACCCGCCGAGGUUAGAACGUACGAACGUAGUAGUUAGUACGGACGUGAGACGUUGCCGACGGACGACGACGAGGGGAGGUUAGGG